AUUAUAUAUCAACAUUUAAUCAUGAUGCAUUAUAUAUGCAAAUAUGGCCAAUUGAAAGUAUAAACAAUAGAGAUACGCAAACCUGUUUGCCAAUUCAAGGUUGAAGGGGUUGAUCACUUGUGGUAUCGGAAUGAGUUAGGCGGCGGGAAUAUGGGCGGCGGUGGCUUCGGUGCGGAUGGGCUGCUUCCGGAUUUCUUUACUCUGAAUUCUCCGGGUUGGCAGGGUUCCUAUGCCAAAGUUUCUAUCCGUCCUUCUCUGUUCUCUCUCUUUCUUUUUCCUCAAGGUUUUGUUCCAAGGAAACCUCAGAGUAUUUU
rnacentral:lncRNA from 1 species